GGAGGCCGGCCCUGAGGAGAUCCUGGCUGUGGCACAGGAGUUAUCUUUCAGCAGGUGCAGCCAUUCCGAGCCAGAGAGGCCUGGAGGACGAAGAGACAGCACCUCAGGCAGCCCUGCCAGGAGCCACUGGGUUUCAUCCUGGCCUGACCCAGAAAAAUCUUAUGGAAGAGAACAAGAGGCCCGAGAGCUCUCUGAUCUGCUGUCAACCAGCUGCAGCCGAGAGAGAGACUGCCAAAGUGGGGCAGUGACUGGGCAGCGCCCCACAGAGCCGUCUGGGAGGGGAUUACCAGCCUGAUCCCCUGUCUUCAGAGCCAGAAAUGACUCAAACUUCACAAACAGCAAGGGCCUGCCAGGGAGGGUGACAAUGAGCACUGGAGAGGGUGUUCUUCCCCUUGUUGCUGUCUCUACACCCCCCCCCCAACCCCCCUCGCUGCUGUGGCAGAGAUUCUGGACAGUGUGCAGCCUGUGAGGUAAUCUGAAUUCCUUGGCAACCAGCAAGUACCUGAAUUCUUUCAAAACCGCAGGAAUCCAGCAGAGAAAAGUGAAAAUUUGGCUAUUAGCUCCGGCUCAAAGAGGGCCUUGUCAGAUCGUUUAGACCACAUACUGGAUCCACGGAAAACUGUAAAAUCCAGGACAAAGUCUUUUUGGAUUCCACCUCUGACAAGAAAGAGAAUCUACACCAUUUUGAUAGAGAAUGGAGCCCCUCUCUGGAAACUGAGUGUCCCCUGCUGGUGCAAAGCAAGAACAUACUCGUCAAACUCAAAAGUAGGGUGGACCUUUUGGGGCAAAAUGCUGGGCCCAACUACAAUUUUUUUCUAAACAUCUCAAUAUUUUGCCCAGGUGUAAGAAAAUAAUGACAGUUUUCCUGUGUUAAUAAAACAACAACAAGGACACCUGGAAAUUAUGACUCUAAAAAGAAACUAUUUCUGGUCUUUUUUCUUAAGUUUAAAAAGGUCAAGAAUUAACACAAAAUAUUUACUUCACAAAACAGUCUUGUGAAAUGAAUUUAAUCUUUAUGUCGCCUAAGCAUUAAUUCGAGGCCCAAAACAAGUGUUACGGGAUAAGACCCUUCCUUUCUAACGAGGAAGCCAAUUAUAUCUGCUGCCAGGGCUGUCUCUUUAGGAAAAAUUACGGUUUUCCUUGUUGAGCCUCGAAGUAAAAUGGCCUAGUGAUCUCAUCCCAAACUGCUUAUCUUCAGUAACAUCUACAUAAAACACACGUGACUCAAAAUUACUAGAGGCUGCAGAUCCAGAGAAGCUACAGACUAUUGCUGGAUGUGGUGACACAGUUGAGCAGAUUCUGAGGAUUAAAAAGUAGAUGAAAGCCAAGAUACACAGUGAGUUAAGACACAGGAACCUGAGGGGCGCCCGGGUGGCUCACGGUUAAGCGUCCAACUUUGGCUCAGGUCAUGAUCUCCGGUUGGGGAGUUCGAGCCCCGCGUCAGGCUCUGUGCUGACAGCUCAGAGCCUGGAGCCUGCUUCGGAUUCUGUGUCUCCCUCUCUCUGCCCCUCCCCUGCUCACACUGUCCCUCUCUCUCUCUCUCUCAAAAUAAUAAACACUUAAAAAACUUUUUUUAAAAAGAUACAGGAACUUGGGCACCUGGAAGUUAUGGUGCAGAGCAACGUGCCUGGCAAGACUUGCUAAGAGCCUGACAUACUGCACCGUCCUUGUGUCAAGCUUUUAUAUUCACCAAUGCUUUUAGCUUAACUGUGACAAAGUCCUGAAAAGUCCUAUUAUUUGCUUCAAUUCGGACUAAGUUUUUAAAAAGCUGUCUUCUAAAUUAUUCUGGGGG